GACGAACGCUGGCGGCGUGCCUAAUACAUGCAAGUUGAGCGCUGAAGGUUGGUACUUGUACCAACUGGAUGAGCAGCGAACGGGUGAGUAACGCGUGGGGAAUCUGCCUUUGAGCGGGGGACAACAUUUGGAAACGAAUGCUAAUACCGCAUAAAAACUUUAAACACAAGUUUUAAGUUUGAAAGAUGCAAUUGCAUCACUCAAAGAUGAUCCCGCGUUGUAUUAGCUAGUUGGUGAGGUAAAGGCUCACCAAGGCGAUGAUACAUAGCCGACCUGAGAGGGUGGUCGGCCACAUUGGGACUGGGACACGGCCCAAACUCCUACGGGAGGCAGCAGUAGGGAAUCUUCGGCAAUAGACGAAAGUCUGACCGAGCAACGCCGCGUGAGUGAAGAAGGUUUUCGGAUCGUAAAACUCUGUUGGUAGAGAAGAACGUUGGUGAGAGUGGAAAGCUCAUCAAGUGACGGUAACUACCCAGAAAGGGACGGCUAACUACGUG
rnacentral:rRNA from 1 species